rnacentral:lncRNA from 1 species
GGAGAGAUUGAUGAGAUGGAUCUUUAACGAUUGGCGGUUGGAGGCGAGGCAGGGGCGGCCGGCCGAUCUCCCUCACAUGCCAUGCCAACACAUACAUUAUAUUUCCCGAUCGGCGACACCUACGACGCACGCAACGCAAGAGCUUCGCUUGCUUUGUUUAACGAAAAAUGCAGCAUCGCCCUACGCGCUUACGUACAGCCAGGCAAUCGAAAACAGAAGCCAACCCCGCCAAAGAAAAAUGG